rnacentral:rRNA from 1 species
GACAAACUCCGAAUGCCAAUUAAUUUAACUUGGGAGUCAGAACAUGGGUGAUAAGGUCCGUGUUCGAAAGGGAAACAGCCCAGACCACCAGCUAAGGUCCCAAAAUAUAUGUUAAGUGGAAAAGGAUGUGGCGUUGCCCAGACAACUAGGAUGUUGGCUUAGAAGCAGCCAUCAUUUAAAGAGUGCGUAAUAGCUCACUAGUCGAGUGACACUGCGCCGAAAAUGUACCGGGGCUAAACAUAUUACCGAAGCUGUGGAUUGUCCUUUGGACAAUGGUAGGAGAGCGUUCUAAGGGCGUUGAAGCAUGAUCGUAAGGACAUGUGGAGCGCUUAGAAGUGAGAAUGCCGGUGUGAGUAGCGAAAGACGGGUGAGAAUCCCGUC